UACGGAGGAUCCGAGCGUUAUCCGGAUUUAUUGGGUUUAAAGGGUGCGUAGGCGGCCUGUUAAGUCAGGGGUGAAAGACGGUAGCUCAACUAUCGCAGUGCCUUUGAUACUGCAGGGCUUGAAUGUACUUGAGGUAGGCGGAAUGUGACAAGUAGCGGUGAAAUGCAUAGAUAUGUCACAGAACACCAAUUGCGAAGGCAGCUUACUAAAGUAUGAUUGACGCUGAGGCACGAAAGCGUGGGGAUCAAACAGG
rnacentral:rRNA from 1 species